GGGUGGCCCUAGGUUUUUUUAUAUAUAAUAUAUAUAUACAUACCAAAGAGGAAAUUGGAGGGGGAGAGUUUUCUGGGGAAAAUCAAUUUCUGCGACAAAACGUGGAGAAUCAAUCGAGAGGGACAUCCUGCUAGGAGAAAAUUGGACUGCAGCUUUAGGGAGUAAAUUAUUACUGCUCCAAUUGAUUCAUCACAGAAAACCGAGAGAAAAGAGAAUAGAAUUUGAGGGAAGCCAAGAAGAUUAUUAUAUACACUCACAGCAAACAAGGGAGUCCCUUUUUUUUUGGAGUUAAUUAGCGGCUGCUAGAUUUUAUUUAUAUACGCACGGAAACCGAAGCAAAUAAGACGGUUGAAUUAAUAAGGCUGAGGCUGCUGAAAUUCAUCUCCACACACGAAAAUUUCGGCUUCUGGGUGGAAGAUUAAGUGCUGGAUGCUGAAGAUUACAUGCACAAAUUGCCAGUUGGGAGGAAAAACAUUGAGGAGGCAGUUACACAAAGUCGGCUUAUUCACGUUGCCAAAACUUUAAUCACAUUCCGUCAAUAAAUCGGGUGAUGUCUUCCAUGAAUUUAUCUUGCUUUUCUUUCAUUAAUAUGUUUAUCUAAAUUUAUUUUAGGGAGAAUAAUGUAACUGAUUUGGAACCUUUAUUUCUUCUAUUUGAGAUUCUUG
rnacentral:lncRNA from 1 species